GACGUAGGGUGCAAGCGUUGUCCGGAUUUACUGGGCGUAAAGGGCGCGUAGGCGGCCAGCACAAGUCAGUUGUGAAAUCUCCGAGCUUAACUCGGAAAGGUCAACUGAUACUGUGCGGCUAGAGUGCGGAAGGGGCAACUGGAAUUCUUGGUGUAGCGGUGAAAUGCGUAGAUAUCAAGAGGAACACCUGCGGCGAAGGCGGGUUGCUGGGCCGACACUGACGCUGAGGCGCGAAAGCCAGGGGAGCGAACGGG
rnacentral:rRNA from 1 species